ACUAUGAGUUUUUAAAAAUAGAAAAAUUACAUUUUGUAAAACUUAAUUUGUUUUUUACCCUUGUGGUUCCCUUCUAACUCAAGAUGUUCUGAUUCUGUGAUUCUGUGAGGAGGAGGAGAGCAGGACUAGCAUUUUUAACCCAGAAUUGCCAUGCAAGUGCUGACUUUGGCAGUUCCUCGGAGCGUGACUCGGGAUGAAUCACCUCGUACUGUGUGCCACUUACCCCCAUGCGAAGGGCAGCAGGAGAUCUCUGUUCUCAAAAUAGGAUGAAGCUGCUCUGCCCUCGUGAUUCUCUGCAGGCAAUCUGUGUCAUCCUAUGCUCAAUGACAGCAGCUCUGGUGUCAAGGAAGCUGAUGCCUAUAAACAGGAAGGGACACAUUAUUAACUAAACAACACAACUGUAGGGAAACAUUCUCUGACACUAAACAUUUGAAGAGGAAAAAACCCUAAAGGUGACAAUUUAGAUCAAGAGAGCAGAGGGACAUUCUUCAGAUCGGAACAGACCUGGUGCUUGCUACAAGGUAGAGCAAUAAGGGUGCCAGAUAGGAGGAACUGGAUGCGAAGGAUUGUGAACAUAUUUGCAGCCAUCUGGCAGCUUCUAAUUAUCCAAAUGAUGAGGCUGCCUGAGCUCUCACCAAAAUGUGGAGAGGGAGGGAAGGCAGGAGUCUGUUUGGGCAGAGGAUCUCGAAUGCUUCAUGCUUUCAACGUAUGUUUUUUGGAAAUGUUUUAUAUCACUUACAAGAUUAUUUAUAUUAUUGGAGAUAUACAAAAAUGGUUCCAGAAGAACAUGGGAAGGUUACUCCUGUAUUUUUCCUUCCGGGUUUCUGGAAAUCAAGUCAAAGAACAGAAUAGGUGCUGUUCCCUGGGCACCAGCAUCAAGAAUGAACUGGGGAAGAAUCAAGAUGUCGUGCCUUGGGGUAUGAUUGAUCACAGCAAGUAUCAAACUAUCUCCUUAUUUCAUUCUUCUAUCAGGAGCUAAACAGCACCGUGCUGACCUGUGCCACUCUCAUUCAGCCAGGAACUGGACUCUAAUGACAAACCAGUUGUUCUAUCAUGGUAAAAAGUAAGAUACUGGGUUUAAUAUGUGAUAUUUGCAGUUGCUUGCAUGCCACAAGCAAUCAGAUAUCAAAGUCCCCUAAGCAAUCUGGAUUUUUCUUUCUCAAUAGCAGGACAAGCAUGCCUUAGCUAUAGCAGUGUUAAUUACAUUAAGCCGGGACAGCCGUUGCCAUGGGCUCUAACCUCAGGCAGCUUCUGCUUCUGCUCCCUGAAACACAAUUGCUGAGAUGAACAAGCGAUUUUAGCCACUUGUAAACGCACACUGCAGAAACAAGAAUUAAAUUGCUUUCCAGGGCACAUAGAUGAGAUACGAGCACUAAUUUGACUUGACUCGUUGUCUUGCAUGCAGUUUAUGGGAAGGUGAAUGAAAAGUUGUGUUGCUCUGCCCUCUUAUGAUGGUACCAUAUUUCCAGCUGUUUGUGGUUAGGCGUGUCCUGGCUGCAGCUCAGAGGCAGGCUUUUAUGUUAAGAUACAUGACAGGCAUAUGGAUUCUAAGUGACUACAUUUAACAGUAUUGAUUUUAGGUAUCGAGAUACACAGUUUUUAUCACCCACUUGUUUCCUGGUUGGAAGGAGAAAAAGAAGGUGCCAAGAACCUCCCAGGUACGAUAGGAAAUGAUGCUGAUGCUCAGACCACCUGCUACCUAGAAAGACAGAUUGAUAGCUCAGCGUGUGGCACUUUCUGACACAGGCCAAUAAUUAACCUGAUUGCUUCUGUUGUAUUAGAGGUAUGUGCUGCCCCUUUUGAUAAAGAGAAAAAUGUUCUUUAUUGCAUUCAGUUAUCAUUCGUCUUUGAGCUUGGCAUCCUCCUUCAGGCAUCUGCUGCUGCUUCAUGAUACAAAGUAACACACAGCUCAGUUACUAAGCAUUAUUUUUCUAAUUCUGCUCACAGACCCUGGAGAGGAGAAGUGCCUCCUAGAAACCAUCAAUUCCUAAGCAUAAGAUUUGGUUACGUUACUUCAGCAUGCGCAUUCUGGCCCAGAUUUUGAGCUGCGUAAAAGAAAACUUUAUCUGCAGAAAUCUUCCUAGGAAUCUGAAUGAUACCUGCUUUGCAGUCUUUCUACUUAGGCUACACGAAGUGAUACCAAAUACAAUCACCUUAAAAUUCAAAACCAUAGAAAGAAUGCUACUUGUUACUUUUUACAGAGCACGUUGGCCAAAAUAUUGUGCCAGUGGCCUCCCAGUGUGUGAGCCCCAAGCAUGAGACCGACAACUAAAUCUUUUGGACAGACUAUUUGGAAGUGUAAACGAAGAAGGCCAACGUUCCUUCUUUUUCUUCUUCUUCUUCUUUUUUCUUAAAGAUGUGGAGUACGAAUUUCACAAAGCUGACGCACACCAGACAAUGUCGCACAAGAUCCUGCGGGCUGCUGCAUGAAUGAGGCCUUUCAGGCCCCGCACACUGCCCUGCUUGUUCCCCAGGCCGCACUUUCUGGUCACUAACACUCAGCUGGCAAGAGCAGAGGAUGCUGCACCAAGUGCCAUUUGUCUGUCAGCUCAAAGGAAGUGGAACUCCCCUUACAGCUGUUCUUCUCAGCACUUCCUACUACACGCUGUAGAUGAAGACGCACAAUAUUCUGCAGAAUUAACCCCCCCAGAGGUCGAUGAGCUCAGUCGUCAGGGUCAGCUCCAACCAGUUCCGACUUCCAGCAUUCAUCCCUCCUAGUCUGUGCAUUCCGAGGACUUCUCGCACCAAAAUGUGUCAUUUUAAGACGUUAUCUCGUCUCCUUCCCAUCCUGCUCCACCUGCGAUCCCCCGGCAGCACGGAGCUCUGCCGCCCGUUGCAUCGUGGAUGCUGCCCUCUAGCGCUCACUGCUCCAAGGGCCUGCAGACCUUCCGUGUUCCGUGGAGGGUCGCUAAUAAAUACUGAAAGAAGUCUUUAAAUACAUCGGGGGAUUUGCCAUCAUGGACCUGCUGUAUUUAUUUAUUUAUUUAUGAUUCCUGCUUCCUCUUCCUUCACCACCGUUCCUAUUAACUAAGUGUUAAGUGAGAAAAUAAACCGCCGCAGCCACCAGCGCCAUUCCCGGCUCCUGCCACACGAGGUCGCUCCGGAGCCAGAUACAGGAGCUGGUCCCGUUCCACCGCCCCACGUGCUUCCACGGGAGACACGUUGCGAUCCUUAUUGCGGGGGUCUCAGCGUGAAGUUUGUUUCUGUCCUUCCAUAGCACACAAGGAGGUAUUUUCUGAUGGCCAUAAUCUCCCCCAGGAGCAUGAUGGAAUGUAUUCGUGACACCGGCUUCUGAUAGUGUGACAAGUAGAAGACAGGACAGUAUCUAUUUAGGAAUUCCUAAUAUACAGCUCUUAAGUGGAGUUUUGAAGGCUUCUGACUUAGCUGCACUGCUGCUUUCCACCACUGCAAUGAUACAAGACAGCUGGAUGUCGUCUGUGUAUGUGUGAGCUUUCAUGUGGUGCUCUGGUCCAUCAAGAGUGUGGGCAACUCAUACUGAGAUUAAAGGUAGAUAUCUAAGAGCACUACUCCUCUAAAUACUACUCACUGUUAAGAAAUUUCCAGCAUUCAGAGGCAGAUUCAGCACAACUUAAGGAGGCUCUUGGAAUUUCAGAACAUUUUUAUACCAUUAGAAAUUCAGAUAUACUAGAGAGAGGAGCAAGCAAUACACUGGGGAAUUCUCAAAGUUGCAAAUAAAGCUUUUAAAAGACCUGCAGUAAAAGACACGCAGCAAGAAUUUCCAAAGGUAACGGCUGUCUCGGUGGGUGGUUCAUAUUACUGUCUUCAUGGUUCCUCGCUUUGUUCUAGGAAAUAUUUUUGCUUUGCAAUAUUAUGAUGUUCCUGGAAUUUCCUUUGUAGUGAAAAUGUUUAACCUUAAUGCAGAAAUUAUGCAGAAGUUUAAGCCUACAGCUAUUCAGAAAUCCAGAGCAGAGAUGCAUUAAUAUUCCUUCCCCCUCGAUUCCUUCUCAUUCUUACAAAGGCACAACUAGUCUGCUCAGAUCUGUGCUUUGAAUAAGGAGUAACUCGAUGUCUGCAAAAAAAGAGCGGCUCUCUCAGGGAAAGCCUCUUAUUAAUCGUAUUAAACAUGUUGAUGGCGGAGAUUUCAGUAACAGCAGCCCUGCCAGCCCUGGCAACGUGCAGCAGUUGAGAUGGAGACACCCCUCAUUGCAGCAUAAAAUACUUUAAUCUCACAGAGUCUGCGCUUCAAAUAAAGCGACACGAGCGUUUGUCUUUAAGAGCUGGAGGCGUUUCCAGCAGUCGGGUCGGGCUGCAGAGCUGCAUUAACCUCAAUGUUUUACUUCUCUCAUCACUUCGGCUCCUUCACAAGUUUCUUUUGCUCCCUCAGCCCCGGGCCCCGUUUAUGGGGAGGGUCCUUCGAGGGGGGCGAUGUCAGAAGAAACGGGUUUGUGUUCAGCGAGUGCGUGUGAACUGCGUUACAUGCGAGGAACUGGAAGACAGUAAACAAAGGUCACAUAAGAAGCCUGCUUUGCUCCUCCUCACGUGCAAACAGUACUGGAAGGCUGCAGUCAGGACUAUGGAGUCUUGUCCAAGCUGAACAAACCCAACACCCUCAACCUGCCCUCGCAGGAGUGGUGCUCCAGGCCUCUAUAGAAAACACAAAGGCCUUGUCAGCUCCAGCACUGGUAUCUAUAUUAAACUCAUCUGAACUACCGAAACACCAGUUUGGGUUGUACAUUGUGUCCUUCAUCAACUACAUUACCAAGAACUACGGUACCACUGGAUACAAAGUCUAACCCCAGAAGAUACAGUUCUCCAGGUUCUUAGGUAGCAAAAAGACACCCGAAAGAUUUACCUCUUAACUCCGUUCCUGAAGGAACAGCCUCCUCUUUGCAGACGUACAUUCUAGAAGAAGUAAUCCAAUACAACAGUCUCAAUUUAUUUGAAAUAAUUCAGUUUCAAAACUUUUUAAUUUAAAAUUUACAGCACACGUGGGGAGUAAACAUGUUUUAUUACAACUAAAAAUUAUCAGAAGAGUGCUGCAGGGUUGAUUAAUUUAACACUGUCAUGGCUUUAUUCAAAACACAGUUGCACAAAAUCAGUUACUCCAAAGUUUAAGGAAAGAGUCUGAUAAGGAACCAAAACGCACUAUAUACAUACUGCCAUACAAAGAGCAUUGAAAUAGGACAAAACCUCUACAAAAUAUAAAACCCACCCUUACAUAUUCGCAUGAAAAGACCACCCACCAAGCAAAAAAGUUUCAAAAGGUAUCUGGAGGCUCUGUAUUAUUUUUUAAAAAACGCUAUGCUGUUUAAUUGCAUGCCAAGCUGACAAAUAUGAAAUGAUAUUUAGAUGGUAACGCUGAGGAAAAGACAAAAUUACUUAAUAAGUUUUGUGUGAGGCUCAGAUUUUCUAGACAUAGCAGCUGAUGCACUAUACUGCAAGUUGAUUUAGGAAGUGUUAAGUCUGCAUAUCUUAGGGAAAGUCUGCUUACCCCUUCUAAGCUCAUUUUGCUUUGUCGCAUUAGCUCAUUCAAUGUUAAAAUUGGACUUGUUUAUUGAAACAUGACUGGUACCAAAAUAACUUUAAUUCAAAAUAGUAAAUGUCCCCAUUUAAAACUAACUUUAUAUGCAUCAGGAAGAGAUAGAUAAGGAAAACCCUGAAAAUGAAGUACUUUAAAAGUGCACACUUAUAAUUUUCAGUCAUUCACUGAGAUUUAAAAAAAGCAAAAAGGUGGAAAAACACUUUUCUAUCUCAAAGCUGAUCACAAAGCAACUGACUCAAACACAGAGCCUCCAUGAUAAGAUAGGAUGUGCACUUACCUAAGAUUUCUAUUCAUUCAGUAUUCAUACACAAACACAGGAACUCAGAUUGUGGUUGCAAAUGUAGUUUUACCACUACUUUUCUAGUGUCUUUACAGAUAUUCAUUAAAAAUUGCAGAACUUUUAGUCAGUUUAUUUCCAAGUAUGUUGCCUGACCGAUUUCAUUCAGACACCUUUGAUGCUUCACAGCUACAUGAGAAACAGUAAUUUAAGGCUCUAUUUGAGGG